GGGGAUGUAGCUCAAUUGGAAGAGCAGUUCAAUGGCAUUGAACAGGUUGUGGGUUCGAAUCCCAUCUUCUCCAC
rnacentral:tRNA from 1 species